rnacentral:piRNA from 1 species
UGGAAAGCUGUGGUGCAGGCCUUGCAGU